CAGAGGGCUGGGGGCCGUUUUGACCCAGCAGGUGGAUGGAGUCGAUCGCCCGGUGCUGUACAUCAGACAAAAAUUAUCACAUCGGGAGGCGAGGGCUAUGAGAGAGAGAGAGAGAGAGUGCAAGAGGAUGUUGAUUGGGAAGAAGCAGCAAGUGACAUGAAGAUUAUCCUGUUCCUUGGUUCAAGACUGAAGCAGCAAUGAACUUCGAAGGCAACAAGCACUGUGGAUCAAAUAUCACAAUAUCAAUAUCUCACAUUGUUCAGGAAAUCACAGUUGGAAUAUUUUACCUAGCAAGGUCAGAUAACACAGAAUUUAGGGAUAGAUAGAUAAAACCAGUUACAGAGUAAAAUGCAUAAUUUGUUGUACAAAAUGGUAUAUUUUAGCAGAAUUAUUUCUAAUCCCCUUUUUCAUUUGAGGAAAAAUACUUGGUGGCAAGCAAGUAAAUGCUUUAGCAUUCUUAAACUGUAGCGUUUCAUUCAAUUCAGAUUUAUUAGUAUUGACUUUGGCAAAACAGACAAGGUGUAAGGAAUUGACCGGUGGCUGGACGAUGGUAAGUAGUGGAAGAGACAGUGUUUUCCAAAACCAGUUAUAACUCCCCUCCAAUUAGUUCAUGAACACAAGGCGUUCUUUGGUUGCAGGCAUUUAUUGCACAUCCAUGCCGUUAACAUGCCGUUAAACAUGCUGUGAGAACUAGACAAAAUAAAGCACAAAUCAUAAAUGAGUCCAGUGCGAUACAGUGCAUUCUCAUAGAGAAUAACCAUUAAACAGAUAUUUCACAAACACAAAUAUAGCUUCAAAUAUAGCUUGCAUAAUCCAUUAUUUUAGAUUAAACCCACGGAAUUAGCUUGCCAAACACCCGCAAACGUAGGUGGGCCACCGCGAACUCCACCAGAAUAUUAGCCGUAGCUAGCCCCCUAACACACAUUUAAUAACUAUAGGCACAAUAUAGUAACACACAGAUAACAUUACACACCUCAUUGGCCGCGCAACUCGAAGGGGGGUACAAAACAAAACUUCAACCUUACAAGUCCUUAGCCAAUUCCAAUCCUCAUGAACGCAACCAUAAGCAACGUAACCCAAAAACAUCAUUCUCGGCAGAAUCUGACAUGUACUCUGCCUCUCGUGGUAAUUCCAGAGCGCAACUAACAACAAUGCCCCAACCCCACUGUAACACAAUGACAUUGGAUUGGACAAAUGAACUUCAACUGUACAACUGACGCUGACGGCAGCUACACCAGUGAUUUUUUUUUUUUUUUUCAGCAGGUGGAUAGCCAGUGUCAAACUAUAUACAGAUUGUGGUACAUCACAAAAUAUAAAACAACAAAAAAAAACUGUACAAAAAAGGAAAUUAAACGGGCAUAUGUUGCCAGGCUAUGUCUUCCUCAGACCCUGCACACAUAACUACCCGUACUGUCUUUACUGCACUGGUGACAACCAGUAACCUCAACUGUAAAAACCCAACUCCCCUGAGGAGCCUAAUGCAAGCCCUUUAAUCAGCAGCUCCUACCAUUGCAGUAAUAAGCAGCAGUUUAAACAACAAACACUACCAAUUGCUUAUUUAAAAUCAAUAAGCAACCACAGUAAUUACAGACAAGUAACAAACAUAGGAAUUCACCUUUCCAUAAUCUACAGGGUUCUGAACAGCAUUAAUACACGUUUUAGUACGCUGCUCACUAAAUCACCCCUCCUACAAUGGCACAGCCCAAUAACACCCCCAGAAAAUCCUAUACAAAAAUACCACUUGGUACGGUCGCGCCUGUUUCGCGGGAGAAACAACACGAAAGAACGCUGGAAGAAUCUAAGUUGAUUAUAGAUUGUGAUUUUCUUGUUUUAGCAGAAUACUAAAA